AUGUCAUUCUCAUCGCAACAGCAGCAGAGCAGAGAGAUCUUCUUCGAGCUCUCUCCAAUGGCCAAGAUCCAGCCCCUUCCUGCCGCGGCAGCCUCGCCUUCUCCCUGCUCCGGUGAUCACCACCAGAGCCCACAGGCGUAUAAGGUCUGGAUGAAGUCGCUGGUGUUCAACGGCAACGGCUGCGCCGUGUACGGGCCCGACGGCGCCGUCGCCUUCCGCGUCGACAACUACGGCUGCAGGGGCGGCCGCGAGGUUUUCUUCAUGGACCGUCAGGGGAACGCCCUCGUCAGGAUCAGGCGCAAGGGCUUCGGCAUGUUCAAGAGAUGGGAGGUCUGCCGUUGCGCCCACAACGGCCACCAGGACGAGGAAGCGACGCCGUGGUUCAGCGUGCGGCGGGCCGAGAAGGGCAGGGCCGCCGUGGCGAUGCACGGCGGCAGCGGCACGUGCUACAGGAUCGACGGGUGCUCCGGCGAGCACAAGCCCGAGUACAGAGUCCGCGGCGUGGACGGCUCUGCCGUGGCGGAGGUGGCCCGGAAGCAGACGGCGGCGGGGGUGGUGCUAGGGGAGGACGUGCUGACGCUGACGAUGGCGCCGGAGGUGGAUCACCUACUCGUCCUGGGCUUGGUCGUGGUGUGCGGCCUCAUGAACCGAUCCAUGUGA
rnacentral:rRNA from 1 species